rnacentral:sRNA from 1 species
UUGGAGGGCAAGUCUGGUGCCAGCAGCCGCGGUAAUUCCAGCUCCAAUAGCGUAUAUUAAAGUUGUUGCAGUUAAAAAGCUCGUAGUUGAAUUUCGGGGUCAGCAUGUUGGUCGUGCCACAGGUACGUACUGGCGUUGCUGAUUCCUCCCUCUUGACGAACCGUAAUGCCAUUAAUUUGGUGUUGCGGGGAAUCAGGACUGUUACUUUGAAAAAAUUAGAGUGUUUAAAGCAGGCAUGCGCUUGAAUACAUUAGCAUGGAAUAAUGAAAUAGGACGUUCGAUCCUAUUUUGUUGGUUUCUAGGAUUGACGUAAUGAUUAAUAGGGAUAGUUGGG